rnacentral:rRNA from 1 species
UUUCGCAAUGCCCGAAAGGGUGACGAAGCGACGCCGCGUGAGUGAGGAAGGCCUUCGGGUUGUAAAGCUCUGUCAGGAGUUAAGAAAUAUAAGUGUGCUAAUACCACAUUUAUUUGACAAAAGCUCCAAAGGAAGCCACGGCCAACUCUGUGCCAGCAGCCGCGGUAAUACAGAGGUGGCGAGCGUUGUUCGGAAUUAUUGGGCGUAAAGAGCACGUAGGUGGGUUUGUAAGUCAGAUGUGAAAGCCUUCUGUUCAACGGAAGAAUUGCAUCUGAAACUGCGAGUCUUGAGUGUAGGAGGGGAGAAUGGAACUUCUGGUGGAGCGGUGAAAUGCGUAGGUAUCAGAAGGAACGCCGGCGGCGAAAGCGAUUCUCUGGCCUAUUACUGACACUCAGUGUGCGAAAGCUAGGGGAGCAAACGGGAUUAGAUACCCCGGUAGUCCUAGCUGUAAACGAUGGGCACUAAGUAGAGGGGUUUUA